GGUGCUUAGUAUUGUUCUUACCAUGAGAAUAAGACCUGUUUAUCAAAUGCUUUAUGCUGGCGGAUCCUUUCGGCUACCUCAAAGUUCAAGUCAUUAAGGUAUCUUGAAAAAGCUUAACCCCCGUCAUGUGCUAAUGUUAUAAAGGGAAGUACAUUCAUCAGUAAUCGCCUGUGAGUUCAAAUUUCGGAUAGUAUGAUAUUUACGAUAAUUGUUGUCAUUUGUAUGAUAUGUUUGAAAA
rnacentral:misc_RNA from 1 species